CUUCGAGCUCAGCUCAGGCAAGAGGACCCGCUGAAUUUAAGCAUAUUAUUAAGCGGAGGAAAAGAAACUAACAAGGAUUCCCCUAGUAACGGCGAGUGAAGCGGGAACAGCUCAAAUUGGUAAUCUCCAGUGGGUAGCCACUGGCGAAUUGUAGUCUACAGAACCGUGUUCUGCAUGAUCGUCGGGUAUAAUUCGUUGUUGAGACAGCGAGCCGAAGAGGGUAAUAGCCCCGUAACUGAUCCGAUGGAACAUGCUUUAGUAACCGGUUUUCAAGAGUCGUGUUGCUCGGGACUGCAGCACAAAAUGGGUGGUAAUAUCCAUCUAAAGCUAAAUACUUGCGAGAGACCGAUAGCGAACAAGUACCGUGAGGGAAAGAUGAAAAGAACUUUGAAAAGAAAGUGAAAAAGUACGUGAAAUCGUUAAUAGCAAGCGAAUUGAUCCUAAAUUGUCGGCGUUGGUUUCUGGUGUUUGCUUCAGUUUGUCUCAGGUUCCCAUGUGGUGCUUGUUUCUUCCUGUUGCGUGCCAGUUCUACCACACAGACAGUCAAAGUCACUUCGAUGCGCAGUAAAAGGAAGUUCAGAAGGGAAGCGAAUCUCUUCGGAGAAUUGCGAAUACUGUUCUUCUCCCUGCGUGUCGGAGUGAGGUAAUUGCGUUGCGCUCCGAUUGGACUGGUUCGCAUGGUACUGAGGUGGUUGCAUGCUAGGAUUGCAAAGCUUUGCUGGUGUGUUGCUGUUUCAGUAUUGUGUGUAUCCAUGUGCGUGACCAAGACUUUGAUGCUUGAGGAUUGAUCCGACCCGUCUUGAAACACGGACCAAGGAGUCUAACAUAUGCGCGAGUAUUUGGGUGCCAAACCCUGAUGCGUAGAGAAAUCAAGAGUAUGAGACGUUCUAAUCGAACUGCAUCAUCGGCUGAGCCUGAUCUUCUGUGAAGUGCCUAGCAAGAGCGCAUAUGCUGGGACCCGAAAGAUGGUGAACUAUGCUUGUGCAGGGUGAAGUCAGGAGAAAUCCUGAUGGAGGCUCGAAGCGAUACUGACGUGCAAAUCGUUCGUCUGACAUGAGUAUAGGGGCGAAAGACUAAUCGAACCAUCUAGUAGCUGGUUCCCUCCGAAGAAUGUGAGUUUUGUCAGGUAAAGCGAAUGAUUAGAGGACUUAGGGUUGAAACAACCUUAACCUAUUCUCAAACUUUAAAUGGGCAAGAAGCGGAAAUUGCUUAAUUGAAUUUCUGCGUUGAAUCAGAGUUCUUAGUGGGCCAUUUUUGGUAAGCAGAACUGGCGAUGUGGGAUGCUCCAGACGUUGAGUUAAGGAGCCAAAAUGUACGUUCAGUCAGAUACCAUAAAAGGUGUUGUUGACUGAAGACAGCAGGACGGUGGUCAUGGAAGUUGAAAUCCGCUAAGGAGUGUGUAACAACUCACCUGCCGAAGUCAGCAGCCCUGAAAAUGGAUGGCGCUCAAACGUACUUCCGAAACUCAACCGUCAAAGUAAAUGCGAAGCUUUGGCGAGUAGGAGGGCGUGGUGAUUGCACCGAAGCUGUGGGCGUAAGCUCCAGUCGAGCAGUCACUAGUGCAGAUCUUGGUGUUAGUAGCAAAUAUUCAAAUGAAAUCUUUGAAGACCGAAGUGGAGAAAGGUUUCACGUGAAGUUUAUUGCGACGUGAGUGAACCGGCCCUAAGGUACUCCGUAUGGGAAUGAAAGGGCGCAAUUUAUUGCGCCGUCAGCCAAAAGGGAAACCGUUUAAGAUUUCGGUGUCGGCACACGGUAUUAGGCGGUAACGCAUUUGAACCAGGUGACAGUGGCCGAGGCUCCAGAAAGAGUUUUCUUUUCUUUUUAACAUUACCACAGUCCCUGAAAUCGGAUUAACCGGAGAAGGGGAGUGUGGUGUGGCAAAGCAAUUGACCUUUUCAAUUGUCUGGUGCGCUUCGGACGCUCCUUGAAAAGCCUGGGGAGUGUUUAUACUUCGUGCUGUCCGUACUCAUAACCGCAUCAGGUCUCCAAGGUUAAAAGCCUCUGGUCGAUAGAACAAUGUAGGUAAGGGAAGUCGGCAAAUUAGGUCCGUAACUUCGGGAAAAGGACUGGCUCUUAGGGUUGGACGUUUGAGGCUCGGUCCCAGAAGUCCCGUUAGUGAUUGAGACUGGCUGGCUGGCCUUCGGGCAGGCAGGCCGGGCUACUAUUACAGACGGACCGAAGAACCGAGAUUGUCGUUUCGGCGGCUUUCUCUGCGUGCUAAACAACCAACUGAGAACUGGCGCGGACAAGGGGAAUCCGACUGUUUAAUUAAAACAAAGCAUUGCGACGGUUGGAAACAAUGUUGACGCAAUGUGAUUUCUGCCCAGUGCUCUGAAUGUCAAUGUGAUGUAAUUCAAUCAAGCGCGGGUAAACGGCGGGAGUAACUAUGACUCUCUUAAGGUAGCCAAAUGCCUCGUCAUCUGAUUAGUGACGCGCAUGAAUGGAUCAACGAGAUUCCCACUGUCCCUACUUACUAUCUAGCGAAACCACAGCCAAGGGAACGGGCUUGGGCGUAACGGCGGGGAAAGAAGACCCUGUUGAGCUUGACUCUAGUCUGACACUGUGAAAUGACUUGAAAGGUGUAGAAUAAGUGGGAGAGCAAUCGUCCGUGAAAUACCACUACUUUUAAUGUUGUUUUACUUACUUGGUAAGAAACUAUCGGGCAAUACUGCCUGUUUCUGGAUUUAAGCGCUGUUUUUCAGUUGCGAGGUUCGCCAAUGACACUGUCAGGUGGGGAGUUUGGCUGGGGCGGCACAUCUGUUAAACGAUAACACAGGUGUCCCAAGGUCAGCUCAGAGACGACAGAAACGUCUCGUAGCGGAUAAGGCCAAAAGCUGACUUGACUGUUAUUUUCAGUAUGAAUAGCAGCUGUGAAAGCGUGGCCUAGCGAUCCUUUCGUUUGUCGGAUAUUGACGCGAGAGGUGUCAGAAAAGUUACCACAGGGAUAACUGGCUUGUGGCAGCCAAGCGUUCAUAGCGACGUUGCUUUUUGAUUCUUCGAUGUCGGCUGGUUAAAAGGUAAGAUUGUUCACCUACUAACAGGGAACGUGAGCUGGGUUUAGACCGUCGCGAGACAGGUUAGUUUUAUCCUACUGUUAUACCAUCGUCCCAAUAGUAAAGCAACUCAGUACGAGAGGAACCGUUGUUUCGCAUGACCGGUAAAUUCUGUUGGUCGACAGGCCAAUGCAGAGAAGCUGCCAUGCGUUGGAUAACAGCUGAACGCCUCUAAGCUGGAAACCGUACUAGCACGGACGAUAUGAACUUCUCAGAUAAAAGUUGGAAUACAAAUAGUGUCGCUUGCGGCACUAAGAUCAUACGAACUCCUGUGCCGGCAGUCGAAUUCUGCUGUGCGCUGGUUCGCAUCAUAACGCCAUUUUUCUGAGAAGAUAAAUCAUUUGUAGACGACUUAACUUUUGAACGGGGUAUUGUAACCAGUAGAGUCGCCUCGUUGCGACGAUCUGUUGA
rnacentral:rRNA from 1 species